CCUACGGGAGGCAGCAGUAAGGAAUAUUGGACAAUGCUCGCAAGAGUGAUCCAGCCAUGCCGCGUGCAGGAAGAAUGCCCUAUGGGUAGUAAACUGCUUUUGAACUAGAGAAAACCCCAGUACGUGUACUGGGCUGAUAGUAUAGUUAGAAUAAGCAUCGGCUAACUUCGUGCCAGCAGCCGCGGUAAGACGAAGGAUGCAAGCGUUAUCCGGAUUCAUUGGGUUUAAAGGGAGCGUAGGUGGACUGAUAAGUCAGUGGUGAAAUCUCCGAGCUUAACUCGGAAAUUGCCAUUGAUACUGUUGGUCUUGAGUACAGUUGCUGUGGGCGGAAUAUGACAUGUAGUGGUGAAAUACAUAGAGAUGUCAUAGAACACCGAUUGCGAAGGCAGCUCACAAAGCUGUAACUGACACUGAGGCUCGAAAGUGCGGGGAUCAAACAGGAUUAGAUACCCUGGUAGUCCGCACCGUAAACGAUGAUUACUCGCUGCUAGGGGCAACCUUUAGUGGCUUAGCGAAAGCGAUAAGUAAUCCACCUGGGGAGUACGCCGGCAACGGUGAAACGUCAAAGGAAUUAGAGG
rnacentral:rRNA from 1 species